UACAGAGGGUGCGAGCGUUAAUCGGAAUUACUGGGCGUAAAGCGUGCGUAGACGGUCAAGUAAGUCGGGUGUGAAAGCCCGGGCUCAACCUGGGAAUUGCAUUGAGACUGAUGAGCUCGAGUGCAGGAGAGGAACGCGGAAUUCCAGGUGUAGCGGUGAAAUGCGUAGAGAUGUGGAGGAAUACCGAUGGCGAAGGCAGCCCCUGGGCCAAUACUGACGGCUCAUGCACGAAAGCCGUGGGGAGCAAACAGG
rnacentral:rRNA from 1 species